rnacentral:rRNA from 1 species
UACGAAGGGGCCUAGCGUUGUCCGGAAUUAUUGGGCGUAAAGAGCUCGUAGGCGGUUCGGCAAGUCGGAUGUGAAAUCUCCACGCUUAACGUGGAGGGGCCAUUCGAAACUGCUGUGACUCGAGUCCGGUAGGGGAGUGUGGAAUUCCCGGUGUAGCGGUGAAAUGCGCAGAGUAUCAGGAGGAACACCGGUGGCGAAGGCGGGUCUCUGGGCCGAUACUGACGCUGAGGAGCGAAAGCGUGGGGAGCGAACAGG